rnacentral:rRNA from 1 species
GGACUACACGGGUAUCUAAUCCGGUUCGCUCCCCACGCUCUCGCACUUCAGCGUCAGCACUUGCCCAGUCGGCUGGUUUCCCCCUGGGUGUUCCUGCCGAUCUCUACGCAUUUCACCACUACACCGGCAAUUCCACCGACCUCUGCAAGGCUCCAGUCUCGCCGUAUGGGAUGGCGCCUGGCCGUUAAGCGGCCAGAUUUCACACCCCACGCGCCAGACCGCCUGCGUGCGCUUUACGCCCAGUCAAUCCGGACAACGCUUGGCUCCUCUGUAUUACCGCGGCGGCUGGCAC